AUUGAACGCUGGCGGCAGGCCUAACACAUGCAAGUCGAACGGAGUGGCGAACGGGUGAGUAACACGUGGGUGAUCUGCCUUGCACUUCGGGAUAAGCUUGGGAAACUGGGUCUAAUACCGGAUAGUGCAAGAUGAGCUCGCGGCCUAUCAGCUUGUUGGUGGGGUAAUGGCCUACCAAGGCGUCGACGGGUAGCCGGUCUGAGAGGAUGAACGGGCACAUUGGGACUGAGACACCGCCCAAACUCCCACGGGAGGCAGCAGUGGGGAAUCUUCCGAAAUGGACGAAAGUCUGACGGAGCAACGCCGCGUGAGUGAUGACGGCCUUCGGGUUGGAAAGCUCUGUUAAUCGGGACGCGGUACCGGAAUAGAAAGCCACGGCUAACUACGUGCCAGCAGCCGCGGUAAUAC
rnacentral:rRNA from 1 species